rnacentral:rRNA from 1 species
AGAGUUUGAUCAUGGCUCAGAUUGAACGCUGGCGGCAUGGCUAAAACAUGCAAGUCGAACGCGAAAGGGGCUUCGGCCCCGAGUAGAGUGGCGAAAGGGUGAGUAAUGCGUUCCUACGUGCCUCGAGGUCAGGGAUAGCCAGGGGAAACUCUGGGUAAUACCUGAUGUGGUCUCCGGAUCAAAGAUUUAUCGCCUCGAGAGCGGGGAACGUCCUAUCAGGUUGUUGGUGAGGUAACGGCUCACCAAGCCGAAGACGGGUAGCGGGUGUGAGAGCAUGGCCCGCCACAUCGGGACUGAGACACUGCCCGGACUCCUACGGGAGGCUGCAGUAACGAAUCUUCCGCAAUGCGCGAAAGCGUGACGGAGCAAUGCCGCGUGCAGGAUGAAGCCCCUCGGGGUGUAAACUGCUGUCAGGGUUUAGGAACACAAUGACCAGACCCAAAGGAAGAGACGACUAACUCUGUGCCAGCAGUCGCGGUAAUACAGAGGUCUCGAGCGUUAAUCGGAAUCACUGGGCUUAAAGCGUACGUAGGCGGAGAUGCAGGCGUCAUGUGAAAUCCCUCGGCUCAACCGAGGAACUGCAUGGCGAACCGCACCUCUUGAGACAAGUAGGGGCUGUCGGAACGAUAGGUGGAGUGGUGAAAUGCGUUGAUAUCUAUCGGAACGCCAAAGGUGAAGACAGGCAGCUGGGCUUGUUCUGACGCUGAGGUACGAAAGCGUGGGGAGCGAACGGGAUUAGAUACCCCGGUAGUCCACGCCGUAAACGAUGUGCACUAGAUCGAGGAGGUUCUGACACCAUUCUCGGUCGAAGUAAAAACGUUGAGUGCACCGCCUGGGGAGUACGGUCGCAAGGCUAAAACUCAAAGGAAUUGACGG